AGUGAACGCUGGCGGUAGGCCUAACACAUGCAAGUCGAACGGCAGCACAGUAAGAGCUUGCUCUUACGGGUGGCGAGUGGCGGACGGGUGAGGAAUACAUCGGAAUCUACUUUUUCGUGGGGGAUAACGUAGGGAAACUUACGCUAAUACCGCAUACGACCUACGGGUGAAAGCAGGGGAUCUUCGGACCUUGCGCGAUUGAAUGAGCCGAUGUCGGAUUAGCUAGUUGGCGGGGUAAAGGCCCACCAAGGCGACGAUCCGUAGCUGGUCUGAGAGGAUGAGCAGCCACACUGGAACUGAGACACGGUCCAGACUCCUACGGGAGGCAGCAGUGGGGAAUAUUGGACAAUGGGCGCAAGCCUGAUCCAGCCAUACCGCGUGGGUGAAGAAGGCCUUCGGGUUGUAAAGCCCUUUUGUUGGGAAAGAAAAGCAGCAGGUUAAUACCCCGCUGUUCUGACGGUACCCAAAGAAUAAGCACCGGCUGACUUCGUG
rnacentral:rRNA from 1 species